CCUGGGGAGUACGUCGCAAGGCUAAAACUCAAAGGAAUUGACGGGGGCCCGCACAAGCGGCGGAGCAUGCGGAUUAAUUCGAUGCAACGCGAAGAACCUUACCAAGGCUUGACAUACACCAGACCGUCCUGGAAACAGGAUUUCUUCUUUGAAGCUGGUGUACAGGUGGUGCAUGGUUGUCGUCAGCUCGUGUCGUGAGAUGUUGGGUUAAGUCCCGCAACGAGCGCAACCCUCGUUCUAUGUUGCCAGCACGUGAUGGUGGGAACUCAUAGGAGACUGCCGGGGUCAACUCGGAGGAAGGUGGGGAUGACGUCAAAUCAUCAUGCCCUUUAUGUCUUGGGCUUCACGCAUGCUACAAUGGCUGGUACAGAGAGAGGCGAACCCGUGAGGGCAAGCGAAUCCCUUAAAGCCAGUCUCAGUUCGGAUCGUAGUCUGCAAUUCGACUACGUGAAGUCGGAGUCGCUAGUAAUCGCAGAUCAGCAACGCUGCGGUGAAUACGUUCCCGGGCCUUGUACACACCGCCCGUCAAGUCACGAAAGUCGGUAACACCCGAAGCCGGUGGCCUAACCCCUUGUGGGAGGGGGCCGUCUAAGGUGGGACUGGUGAUUGGGACUGUU
rnacentral:rRNA from 1 species